rnacentral:lncRNA from 1 species
UGAUGUAGAAUACAAGAUCCUAAACUGGAAAGAAGAAGAUUAACCCCUUCAGCUAAAUCGCAUAGCAUGAAUAUCCCCAAUCUCUUCACUCUUGUUUUCUCUCACACCCGUAAGAAUUUUUCAUCUCCAAAACUCACGCUGAAUAAGAGAGUUAUAUAAGAAAAAUAACCAUCUCUUCAGUCAUGUAGAAAACUGAAACUGAAGUGUGCAAAUUCAGUCCUCAACUGAAGCCAUAUAUUUCAGUCCUUGACUGAAGCUAUAUUGUUUAUUUU